CUUUCUUCCUGAUUUGAUGAGAAUGAAGUUCUCAAUUUCCAAAUGAAAGUUUGGCGCACAAUCUUCCUGCAAGUCAGACUGCAUGGCAAAUUUGUUUCUAGUUUAAGGACUGCCUUGCCUGGCCUCAGGAGAAGAUGCACCUAAUCUGGCAAAGACUUGAUGUACCAGGGUGGGGGGAUACCCAGUGGGAUCCCACCCUCUCAGAGGAGAAGUGGAGGAGAGACAGAAGAAGGGUCUCAGUUGUUGGUGGGGGGACCUGGAAGGGAGGCAGUGCUUGAGAUGUAAAUAAAUAAGAAUAUUAAAUUGUAUAGUGUAUAAGAAAUCAGAAUAUUUGGCACUGAAAAUAGUUUUAAAGAAUGAGACAAUUAUAGCUGCUGUUGCAAUGUACUUUCGUAUGGUGUCUCUUACUUCAAAUUAUUUCUCUACAGUGCAUUUUAGCUUAAAAAAAUAAAAUAGUAUCUUAAACAUUUA